rnacentral:lncRNA from 1 species
AAAGCUCGAGGAACAAACAAAGCAAAAGCAGAAAGUGACAUAAAGUUGUAGCUUCCUGCCGAUUUCCAUUGCUAUGACUUUAAUAGCAGAAAAUGAUCCCUUUUUUCUUUUCUGAGAAGAAAUAAUGAUCCAUCUUAAAGGCCUUCAGAUUUCAACACAUGAAGGGAUGCAUACAUAUCCCAGGAAUUAACAAUGGAGGAGGGAUUUCUUGACAAAACGCACCGUACUAGGCUGUUGUUAAGCCGUUACUUAUGCGCACCGUUUCAAUAAAUUGUAAUUCUCAUUACUGAGAAGGUUGUCAAGUCAGCACCAUCUUCUGCUCUGCCUAAAUAUCGUGGCAGUUGUAACAGAAUGAGCAUGCAAAAAAUGAAUGAGAACAAUUGUUAAUUCCUGCUGUGGAUUC